UAGCAGUCUGCUGAAAUUAAAAUCUAGUUAAAUAAAUUGUUCAUUGUAAUUUUUUUUUUAAAAGGCUAAGAAGAAAAAUCGUCAAUUUUGCAAUAACUUAGUAAAUAGUAUGGAACCGAAUUACAUUGAAGAAACAAAACAAUAAUAUGGUAGUUGUUCGAUCAGAUCGAACCUGAAAAAAGAAUCUAUGACAAUGCAUACAAGUAAUGUGAUUUAUUUUUUAAGUUUAACAUUUUUUUACCGUAUUAUAUCCGGGCUUUUUAUGUUGUUUUUAUAAACGUGAAACGAACCUCAAGUAAAAGUUGAAGUAGGCAUAGUGUAUAGAUGGAGAUUAGAGUUAGUGAUUGCCGUCGAAUAAAACUAGCUAUGAUGCUUAUGAAUAACUCUACGGUACUCUUACUCUACGUUAGGAAUUACGACUGAAGUGGAGAUUUGAAGAGUAAUGAUCACACGUAUAGAGGACAACCAACUAUGAUAACUGGCAGGCCAAAAAUAUAAAACAGAUACAAUUUACUAUGGUCCAGUCGCUAUUAUAACAAGGUUCACAAACAGUAGCCGUUUGAAGUUAAGUAGCUGAUUUUCAUGGAGUGCAGCUGUUGUUAUGGCCUAAUCAGCUAUUAUUCAGCAAUAAUCAGCAAUUAUUGAGCCAUGUCAUUUAACCGUUGGUCAUGCCGUGCUCUUUGACUGUUUUUAUAAGCACGAAAAAUCAAAAAUCAAAAAAAUUGCCUACAAUUCACUUCGACAUUACAUUCAUGUUUUUUAACAUUACUAUUAGCUUUCA